UAUUUAAUAUUAAUAAAAUUCAUUUAAUUAAAUUAUUUAUUAUAAAAUUUCCUUUCGUACUAAAUUAUAAUAUUUAUCUAAAGAUAGAAACCAACCUGGCUCACACCGGUUUGAACUCAGAUCAUGUAAGAUUUUAAUGAUCGAACAGAUCAAAAUUUUAAACUUCUUCACUUAAAUUUUAUCUUAAUCCAACAUCGAGGUCGCAAACUAUCUUUUUUAUAAGAACUAAAAAAAAUAAUUACGCUGUUAUCCCUAAGGUAAUUUUUUCUUAUAAUCUUUAAUAAAAAAUCAAUAAUCCAUAAAUAAAUGUAAAAAAUAAAAAAAAGUUAAUUAAAUUUUUCUAUCACCCCAAUAAAAUUCCAAAUUAAAUAUUAUUAUAUUAAAUAUUAUAUAAUUUUAUUAUAAUUUUAAUUUAAAUUAAACUCUAUAGGGUCUUCUCGUCUUUUAAAUUUAUUUUAUCUUUUUAAAUAAAAAAUUAAAUUCUAUAAAAUUAUAUUGAGACAGUUUAUAUUUUAUCUGAUCAUUCAUACUAGUCAUCAAUUAAAAGACUAUUGGAUUAUGCUACCUUUGUACAGUCAAUAUACUGCAGCCCUUAAAAAAAUUUUCAGUGGGCAGAACGGAGCUUUAAAUUAUAAAUCAAAAAAGACAUGUUUUUGUUAAACAGGUAAAUAUAAUUAUUUGCCAAAUUACUUAAAAUAAAUUUUUAAAUAAUUAUUAUAAUAUUUUAUUAAUAUUAUAUACUAAUUUUAACAUUAUUACUUAAAUAAAAUAAUUUAUUAUUAUAUUUUUAUAAAAAAUUAAAUUAAAUAAAAUUUUUCAAAUAAUUAAAAUUAUUUAUAAUAAACUAUAAUUUUUAAAAAAUUUAAUUAAUAUAAUUUUUAAUAUAUUAUACUAUUUAUACAAUUAUAAUUUUUUUUUAUUUUAAAGCUUAUCCCUUAAAAUAUUUAAAUUUAUUUUUUUUUAUUAAUAAAAAAAAAUAAAUAAAUAAAUUUUAAAUUAAAUUUUUUUCUAAAAAAAUUAGAUAUCAAAAAAAACGAUUAACAUUUCAUUUCAAAUUAAAUAUUAAAGAUAAUUUUGCAACAAUAAUCUUUUAAUUAAUUAACUCUUUUUUUUUCGAAAAAUAAUAUAAUUUAUUAAUUUUUUUAUUAAACUCUGAUACACAAGAUAAAUAAAAUUAAUAUUACUUAUUUUUUACUAAUUUUUUUAAAUUUAUUUCAAUUUUCUUUAUCAAUACUAAUUUUAUAUAAAUAAAAUAAUUGUUUCUAUAUAAUACUUUAACCCCCCAAUUAAAAUAUUAUAUAUUAUUAAAAUUAAUUUUAUUAUAUUUUUUUUUAUUAAAUUAUUCAUAAUU
rnacentral:rRNA from 1 species